AUUGAACGCUGGCGGCAGGCCUAACACAUGCAAGUCGAGCGGUUGAAGGGAGCUUGCUCCCUGAUUCAGCGGCGGACGGGUGAGUAAUGCCUAGGAAUCUGCCUAUUAGUGGGGGACAACGUUUCGAAAGGAACGCUAAUACCGCAUACGUCCUACGGGAGAAAGCAGGGGACCUUCGGGCCUCGCGCUAAUAGAUGAGCCUAGGUCGGAUUAGCUUGUUGGUGAGGUAAUGGCUCACCAAGGCGACGAUCCGUAACUGGUCUGAGAGGAUGAUCAGUCACACUGGAACUGAGACACGGUCCAGACUCCUACGGGAGGCAGCAGUGGGGAAUAUUGGACAAUGGGCGGAAGCCUGAUCCAGCCAUGCCGCGUGUGUGAAGAAGGUCUUCGGAUUGUAAAGCACUUUAAGUUGGGAGGAAGGGUUGUAGAUUAAUACUCUGCAAUUUUGACGUUACCGACAGAAUAAGCACCGGCUAACUCUGUGCCAGCAGCCGCAGUAA
rnacentral:rRNA from 1 species